rnacentral:tRNA from 1 species
GGGAUUAUAGUUAAUAAUAACAUUUAAUUUGCAUUUAAAAAGAACUAUAUAUUUAGUUUAUCUC